rnacentral:rRNA from 1 species
CCCUGGCUCAGAACGAACGCUGGCGGCAGGCUUAACACAUGCAAGUCGAGCGCCUCGCAAGAGGAGCGGCAGACGGGUGAGUAACGCGUGGGAAUCUACCCAUCUCUACGGAAUAACGCAUGGAAACGUGUGCUAAUACCGUAUACGCCCUUUGGGGGAAAGAUUUAUCGGAGAUGGAUGAGCCCGCGUUGGAUUAGCUAGUUGGUGGGGUAAAGGCCUACCAAGGCGACGAUCCAUAGCUGGUCUGAGAGGAUGAUCAGCCACAUUGGGACUGAGACACGGCCCAAACUCCUACGGGAGGCAGCAGUGGGGAAUAUUGGACAAUGGGCGCAAGCCUGAUCCAGCCAUGCCGCGUGAGUGAUGAAGGCCUUAGGGUUGUAAAGCUCUUUCACCGGAGAAGAUAAUGACGGUAUCCGGAGAAGAAGCCCCGGCUAA